AUGAACGCUAGCUACAGGCUUAACACAUGCCAGUCGAGGGGAAACGGCAUUAAGUGCUUGCACUUUUUGGACGUCGACCGGCGCACGGGUGAGUAACGCGUAUCCAACCUUCCCAUGACUAAGGGAUAACCUGCCGAAAGGCAGACUAAUACCUUAUGGUCUUCACUGACGGCCUCAGCUGUGAAGUAAAGAUUUAUCGGUUAUGGAUGGGGAUGCGUCUGAUUAGCUUGUUGGCGGGGUAACGGCCCACCAAGGCAACGAUCAGUAGGGGUUCUGAGAGGAAGGUCCCCCACAUUGGAACUGAGACACGGUCCAAACUCCUACGGGAGGCAGCAGUGAGGAAUAUUGGUCAAUGGGCGAGAGCCUGAACCAGCCAAGUAGCGUGCAGGAUGACGGCCCUAUGGGUUGUAAACUGCUUUUGUAUGGGGAUAAAGUCAAUCACGUGUGAUUGUUUGCAGGUACCAUACGAAUAAGGACCGGCUAAUUCCGUG
rnacentral:rRNA from 1 species